AGCCAUGGAAAUGCACGUCUCCGGAUUGAAGAGUACCAGGGACUUCAUUCACAAACAUGUAGGACAGAAACUCAUACUUGGAUACUGAAUUUCAUUUGCAAAACAUAUACUACAUUUACAAAACCUUGUGCUGACAUUAAAUCUACGUGACUGUACAAGUACGUGGAUAUUUCGAUUAUCAAUGCUCCUAAAGAAGGACCAAAUGAUUGGACUACUGUCUGCACAUAUUCAUUAACAAAUACCCCAGACAUAGCCUGCAGAUACAUUGACCAGACAAGAGACGUCUCCAACCAGGAACUCUGGCCAAGAACACAACAGCCUGACUCCACACAACAAAAAUGAAAAUAGAUUGGACCUACGCUACGUAGAAUACAGCCCAAAAUAGCAAGGCAAGCCCCCUGGACUA
rnacentral:sRNA from 1 species